rfam:Atta colombica isolate Treedump-2 unplaced genomic scaffold scaffold400, whole genome shotgun sequence.
UACCUGGUUGAUUCUGCCAGUAGUCAUAUGCUUGUCUCAAAGAUUAAGCCAUGCAUGUCUAAGUAUAAGCAAUUAUACGGCGAAACUGCGAAUGGCUCAUUAUAUAAGUUAUCGUUUAUUUGAUAGUAUCUUGCUACUUGGAUAACCGUGGUAAUUCUAGAGCUAAUACAUGCUAAAAAUCCCGACUUCGGAAGGGAUGUAUUUAUUAGAUUAAAAACCAAUGCCCUCUGGGCUCUCUUGGUGAAUCAUGAUAACUUCUCGAAUCGCAGGGCCUUGCGCCGGCGAUGGUUCAUUCAAAUUUCUUCCCUAUCAACUUUCGAUGUUUGGGUAGUGGCCAAACAUGGUUGCAACGGGUAACGGAGGGUUAGGGCUCGACCCCGGAGAAGGAGCCUGAGAAACGGCUACUACAUCCAAGGAAGGCAGCAGGCGCGCAAAUUACCCAAUCCCGAUCCGGGGAGGUAGUGACAAUAAAUACUGAUACAGGGCUCUUUUGGGUCUUGUAAUUGGAAUGAGUACAAUUUAAAUCCCUUAACGAGGAACAAUUGGAGGGCAAGUCUGGUGCCAGCAGCCGCGGUAAUUCCAGCUCCAAUAGCGUAUAUUAAAGUUGUUGUGGUUAAAAAGCUCGUAGUUGAACCUUGGGCCUGGCUGGCCGGUCCGCCUCACCGCGUGCACUGGUCCGGCCGGGCCUUUCCCUCUGUGGAACCCCAUGCCCUUCACUGGGUGUGGCGGGGAAACAGGACUUUUACUUUGAAAAAAUUAGAGUGCUCCAGGCAGGCCUAUGCUCGAAUACAUUAGCAUGGAAUAAUGAAAUAGGACGUGCGGUUCUAUUUUGUUGGUUUCUAGGACCGCCGUAAUGAUUAAUAGGGACAGUCGGGGGCAUCAGUAUUCAAUUGUCAGAGGUGAAAUUCUUGGAUUUAUUGAAGACUAACUACUGCGAAAGCAUUUGCCAAGGAUGUUUUCAUUAAUCAGGAACGAAAGUUAGGGGAUCGAAGACGAUCAGAUACCGUCGUAGUCUUAACCAUAAACUAUGCCGACUAGGGAUCGGACGAUGUUAUUUUUUGACUCGUUCGGCACCUUACGAGAAAUCAAAGUGCUUGGGCUCCAGGGGGAGUAUGGUCGCAAGGCUGAAACUUAAAGAAAUUGACGGAAGGGCACCACCAGGGGUAAACCUGACCUGUGAAGCCGCAGUCAACUCUGCUCCAGAAAGCCGCCCGAAAGGGUCGGUGGUGUUCCUAGGGGAGAGCUCUCCCCUAAACUAAUGGCUAGUCCUGCCGCCCGCGGCAGGGCGACACCCUCAAACUGACGGGGAACUCCUAAAGCCCUCGCUCCGGACAGGCGUCGGGAAACCGACGGCCUGCUCACCAGGCUAACGACCUCGGGUAUCGGAAGCAACGCGAGAGGAUGCUACAAUGGACAAUCCGCAGCCAAGCCCCUACGGUGCGGCCUCUACGGGGGUCGCAUACGGGGAAGGUUCAGAGACUUGACGGGGGUGGGUGGCGCGGGCUCUUGGGGUGCAAGCCGCGUGCUUGCUUGCAGGCCCAGGCGCCCGCCGCUGCCUAAGAUAAAGUCCGGGCGUGCGCGAAAGCGUGCGCGGCAACCACGCAACCCGCCGUUUCCAGCGGGUGCGAGGCCCCAGAAGUAAAAACAACCGGGAGCCUGCGGCUUAAUUUGACUCAACACGGGGAAACUCACCAGGUCCAGACACAAUGAGGAUUGACAGAUUGAGAGCUCUUUCUUGAUUUUGUGGGUGGUGGUGCAUGGCCGUUCUUAGUUGGUGGAGUGAUUUGUCUGCUUAAUUGCGAUAACGAACGAGACCUUAACCUGCUAAAUAGCCCGUAUUGCUUUGGCAGUACGCCGGCUUCUUAGAGGGACUAUCGGCUCAAGCCGAUGGAAGUUUGAGGCAAUAACAGGUCUGUGAUGCCCUUAGAUGUUCUGGGCCGCACGCGCGCUACACUGACGGAGCCAGCGAGUACUCCCUUGGCCGGAAGGCCCGGGUAAUCUUGUUAAACUCCGUCGUGCUGGGGACAGAGCAUUGCAAUUAUUGCUCUUCAACGAGGAAUCCCUAGUAAGCGCAAGUCAUCAGCUUGCGUUGAUUACGUCCCUGCCCUUUGUACACACCGCCCGUCGCUACUACCGAUUGAAUGGCUCAGUGAGGCGUCCGGACUGGCCCAGAGAGGUGGGCAACUACCACUCAGGGCCGGAAAGCUCUCCAAACUCGGUCAUUUAGAGGAAGUAAAAGUCGUAACAAGGUCUCCGUUGGUGAACCAGCGGAGGGAUCAUUA